GAUGAACGCUGGCGGCGUGCCUAACACAUGCAAGUCGAACGGGACUGUUUAGUGAUGAUUUCGGUCUGAACUUUACAGUUUAGUGGCGGACGGGUGAGUAACGCGUGGAUAACCUGCCUUUCACAGGGGGAUAGCAGCUGGAAACGGCUGGUAAUACCGCAUACGCUCUUUACACCGCAUGGUGCAGAGAGGAAAAGAUUUAUCGGUGAAAAGAUGGAUCCGCGUCUGAUUAGCCAGUUGGCGGGGUAACGGCCCACCAAAGCGACGAUCAGUAGCCGGCCUGAGAGGGCGGACGGCCACAUUGGGACUGAGACACGGCCCAG
rnacentral:rRNA from 1 species